GAGUUUGAUCUUGGCUCAGAUUGAACGCUGGCGGCAGGCCUAACACAUGCAAGUCGAGCGGAUGAAGGGAGCUUGCUCCUGGAUUCAGCGGCGGACGGGUGAGUAAUGCCUAGGAACCUGCCUGGGUAGUGGGGGAUAACGUCCGGAAACGGGCGCUAAUACCGCAUACGUCCUGAGGGAGAAAGUGGGGGAUCUUCGGACCUCACGCUAUCAGAUGAGCCUAGGUCGGAUUAGCUAGUUGGUGGGGUAAAGGCCUACCAAGGCGACGAUCCGUAACUGGUCUGAGAGGAUGAUCAGUCACACUGGAACUGAGACACGGUCCAGACUCCUACGGGAGGCAGCAGUGGGGAAUAUUGGACAAUGGGCGAAAGCCUGAUCCAGCCAUGCCGCGUGUGUGAAGAAGGUCUUCGGAUUGUAAAGCACUUUAAGUUGGGAGGAAGGGCAGUAAGUUAAUACCUUGCUGUUUUGACGUUACCAACAGAAUAAGCACGGCUAAUCGUGCCAGCAGCGCAGU
rnacentral:rRNA from 1 species